ensembl:lncRNA DLEU1 deleted in lymphocytic leukemia 1
AGCUCCUGAUGGUCCUCACACUCCUACAGUGACCUUCUUCACUCAUUAGCCAGGAGUUGAAGCUGAAAGAAAUGUAGCAUAAUAUCUCAAAUGCUUGCUUUGCAUUUUUUAUAUUCAUUGAUUCAACAAUUAUUUACUGAGCACUAUAUUGCAUUUUAGGAAUGGCAUUAGGUACUGGAGAUAUGGGCUAACACACAUUUCUUGGCUACCCAUUAUAGAUAAUUACAUGAGAAACACAAAAUAUGCAUAGAAGGACCCUAAUUUCGAGUCAAACAACCCAGGAAGAAGACUUCUCUAUAGCUAUCUUUAUACUUUAUAUUAAUCUUUUUCUUUGUAUUUUAUGUUCAUCUUCUUCUUCCUGAAAUGAGAAGGGAAGGAAAAUAGAAUUCUAGAAAUAACCUUACAGCUGCCCUUCACUCUAUGGAAAAAGUGAGCUCUUGACAGGAAAGGGGUUCUAUCCAUGAUCUUACAAUUCCUAAACAGCAACAGCAUCAUGGACGUAUUUGUUCCUGGCGUCAUAAGCCUGCAUACGGUAGGCAUUCAGUUAAUAGGUACUGAUUGGUCUAACAGAGGAAGCUGGGCUUGAUUAUAAAAUAAACUAGGCUAUGAAAUCAUGCCUCCUAAAAGCUCAUUAAAGGCAGCAACACGGGAUGGGGACUGUAAGGAAGUUGUCUCCCACCUGCCUCCCUCCUCAGACACACAUCAUUCCGCAGAUGUGAAAACGACCCAGACUCUGCCCGCAUGUGGCCUCCCGGACCGGGCAGUAGGGCCUUGCCCCUACCCUCAUGAAGACUGUCGGCUGUGUUACAGAACUGCUGCUCUGUCUCUGACUCCCCUCACUCCCAUGCUCUGUUGGAAACUCAAGUUGUGAAACCACAAAACACAGAAAGGAAGUGGUCAACUAUUGCACAUACUCAAGCUAUGUAGUCUCAGUUUAUUCCAUUCUUGCAGGAUCAUUGUAGGAAGGCAUAAGAGUCCUGCUUACUGGUGAGCCACUGAACACAAACUCCCUUCUCACCUCUGCCUUGGAUCCCGCCAUGCCUGAGGUCUAGGGCUAGAAGCGUUGUUUCAUCCACAUUAAUUCCGGUCUUGGGCAACGUGGCUAUUUUCUGACCUGUCUGUCUUCCCACCCUAGUGGUGAAUUCUCUUUCUGGGAUCUCAACUCCUUCUCCUGUCACCCAGCUUUUUCCGAGCAACCCCAGUCCAUCUGGCAUAUCAUUAGAAUGUUAAACCUAAAACGGCCUCUGCGCCUUGUUGGCGGAAUUCAGUUCAAUUUGCCUGAUGGACUGAGGUCCCUGCUUCCCUGCGGGCUGUCGGCGGGAACUGCCACUGGCUCCUUGCAGCCUCUCUCUGAUUCUUGCACAAGGGCACCUACAUCUCAGAGCCAGCGAGAGUGUGAGUGUGUGGAAUCCUUCUCACGAGGCCUCAUCUCUCUGACUUUCGUCGGGAAAUGUUCUCUGCUUUUAAAGGAUCAUGUAAUUAUUUUGAGCCUACCCGAUAAUCCAGGAUAAUCCCCUCAUCUAAAAAUCUGUUACCUUAACCACAUCUGCAAAGUCCCUGUUGCCGUGUAAUGUAAGCUAUUCACAGGUUCUGGGGAUUAGGAAAAGGACAUCUUUGGUGGGGGCCUUAUUCAGCCUACCACAUAGAGAUUAGUACCUGAAAAGCCAGCAGGUGAGAAGCUAGACAGAGCAGCCGGUGGCAGCUAAAGGAGAAAGGGGGCGAGAGCUGGAGAAGUCGCACUUCCGCCGAUGGCGCAGCAAAGGGGAUGUUGCCCUGGAGGACUCAGGGAACGGAACUGGGCUAUCAGCCGAGAAUGGGGCUCCACUCAAAAGGAGGAACCAACAGGAGACACAAGGAACCCCAGCAGGAAGAAGUCGGAGAUGGAGGAGGGGAAGUCAUAGCUGGAGGAGACGUGUGUUAGGAAGCUACAAUGGCAGCUCCCUAGUGGAGGUGUUUCGGAAAAACUCCGAAGAUUCCACUUGAGAAAAUCAUCGGCCUUCAGACAACGUCUAUGCCAGAUAAUGCUACCAAAUCACAACCUUGCCUUUCCUCCCUACUGCUGUUCUGAUGUGGGAGGACCCAAAGGCAGCAGAAGAGCCAAAGAAGAGUAGCAGAAAGGUAAGUUUGGCUGUCAUGCCCUGGCACACCUUGCUGCUACCCUGCAGCUCCCUGCCACCUGGCCAUGCACUGCUUCCCCUCCACACCCUGCUGAGGCAGGUCUGGGCUGGGGACACAGGAAGCUUUGAUGUUAGACUGAACUGGACCUUCAAGAUCUCAAAACACAAAGUAUUUGUUAGUAACUGAAAGGUGGCAUAAAUGUUAGAUCAACCUAGGAUUUUAUCACCAAAUAAGGAAACAAGUUCACUGGGCAGUUCUAAGAAAGAAUAGAAUUGCUUCCUGCUUGGUCUUUUUUGUUUAAUAGACCAGAUUCACAAAUGCCCCAACCCUUCUCUAGCAAUGUGUAGGUUCUGAUCACCAAGGGCUAUCUCAAGAGAAGGGCCAAACAUCUCCAUUAACAGGAACUCAAGCCCUUGUUUCAUUGAAAUGUUUGGUUACAGCUUAAUGACCACAGUUGCAAAGCCAGAAUAUUGAGUUUUUAUAUGCUAUAUUAUUUACAUGGAAUAAUGCCCUCUUGGUACCAUAUUGAACAUAGUAAAUUCUCUGUUAAUUGACACUAUACAGAAAGAGUACUUUGACUGAUCGAGGAAGGCUAAUGUUUUUUGAUCUCUAAUCCUUGGGCUACCUUUUCCGUGAUGUCACGGAAAGAGCAUUAGACUAGUUAUUGUUCUAGAACUGGGACUCUCACUAACUAUAUACACGUGGGCAGAUCAUUUUACAUUUUUGAGCAUUGGUUUCUUCAUGUGUAAGGUGGUAACAACAAUGUCUCCCCUGCCUUGUUCAUAGGAUUGUAGGGAGAAUCAAAUGACAUAAUGGUCAUGAAAAUAUAUUUCUAAGUUGUAAUCUGUAUAUGUAAUAAGGUGUUACUAGUAAUUGAACAUUUAUAUAUAUUCUGUAACAGGUUGUAAACUUUUAAAAGAGAUCUAGUACACCAGGCUUAAUGGACUAUUUUUUGAAAGACACAUCAAAAACUGUUGACAAUAAUUGCCUCUAGGUAGAGACAUGAGAGUGAUGGGAAGGAGGCAGACUUAUUUUUCACUCAAUUUCCUUUUGUAUCUCUUGAAUUAAUACUAUAUAUACACAUGACGCAUUUAAUUU